AUGGCCGCCCCGGCGCCGGAGGAGCGCCUCGACGUGCUCACCGCCGCCGGCGACAAGACGGGCGUCUCCAAGCCCAGGUCGGAGGUGCACCGGGACGGGGACUACCACCGGGCCGUGCACGUGUGGAUCUACUGCGAGAGCACCGGGGAGCUGCUGCUGCAGCGCCGCGCCGACUGCAAGGACUCGUGGCCCGGCCAGUGGGACAUCUCCAGCGCCGGCCACAUCUCCGCCGGGGACUCCUCCCUCUCCUCCGCGCGGAGGGAGCUCCAGGAAGAACUAGGCAUCAAGCUUCCAGUCGAUGCUUUUGAGCUCAUCUUCGUUUUUCUUCAGGAAUGCGUUAUCAACAAUGGGACUUACACCAACAACGAGUACAAUGAUGUUUACCUUGUGACAACUUUAACUCCAAUUCCACUCGAGGCCUUCACUCUCCAAGAAAGUGAAGUAUCUGCAGUUAGAUAUAUGCACCGUGACGAGUACAAGAGCUGCCUUGCAGCAGAAAGCGGAGAAUAUGUACCUUAUGAUGUGAAUGGGCAAUACGGCCAACUGUUCAGUAUUAUUGAGGAAAGGUACAAAGAUAACGCGGAGUCUCGCAGCUUAACCUUACAAAAGCAAAUUAGUCGUUAUGCCCCCAUCCAUUUGGAACCAGAGUUGACUACUCUAUCUGAAGGAGACAAAGAAGCCUUGGGAUAUAUUCUUAAGGCAUCAAUGGUUAUUGAUGAAAUAUUUUAUGAGCAGGUAUGGAAUAGCAACACAAUGCUAAGAGACUGGCUAAAAGCACAUGCUGAUUCCUCCUCCCUUGAUAGUCUGAAGUGGGCAUAUUACUCUAUUAAUAAAAGUCCAUGGUCCUGCCUUGAUGAAAAUAAGGCUUUUCUAUCCACUGCCGAUUCGGCUGUGAAAUUGCUCACAGAUGCCACCAAGCCAAUUUCAGGAUGGAAGGGGCUUGAGUAUCGUGCAGCAUUCCCUCUAGAUAAGCCUCGUGGCGCGAACUUCUAUCCUGCUGACAUGAACAAAAUGGAGUUUGAUUUAUGGAAAAGUGGACUAACUGAUAAGGAACAAAAAGAUGCAACUGGAUUCUUUACUGUCAUAAAACGGCCUGAUGCUUUAUUGACUACAUCAGUAGCACAGUCAGAUGGACCAAAUCAAACCAAUACUUCAGAUGAUCUUUUUAUUGUUCCAUAUUCCAAGGAGUAUAAAGCAUCCCUUGAGAAAGCUGCCGAGCUUCUUCUUAAAGCAUCAGAUUGUUCUGAUUGUCCAAGCCUGAAGAACUUGCUCAGAACCAAGGCGAAUGCUUUCCUUUCAAAUGAUUACUAUGAAUCUGACAUAGCUUGGAUGGAGUUGGACUCCAACAUAGAUGUCACCAUUGGCCCAUAUGAGACAUAUGAAGAUGGUCUGUUUAGUUACAAGGCAACCUUUGAAGCAUUUGUUGGGGUGCGGGAUGACGUUGCAACUUCUCAAGUUAAACUCUUUGGUGAUCAACUCGAGGAUUUGGAGAAAAAUCUUCCACUGGACAAUAUUUACAAAUCAGACAAUGUAUCUGCUGCUCCAAUUCGCGUGAUGAAUCUUCUUUACAACUCUGGGGAUGUGAAAGGUCCUCAAACUAUAGCUUUCAAUUUGCCAAAUGAUGAGCGGAUUGUGAAUGAGCGAGGAACUUCAAUGGUUAUGCUUAAGAACAUUUCAGAAGCCAAGUUCAAGAAUAUCUUGAAGCCUAUAGCCAAUGCCUGCAUCAGAGAGGAGCAGAAAGAAUAUGUUGAUUUUGAGCCUUAUUAUACACAUAUUGUUUGCCAUGAGUGCUGCCAUGGAAUUGGACCUCAUUCCAUAACCCUUCCUGGUGGUAAAAAGUCCACAGUUAGAAUGGAACUUCAAGAAUGUCAUUCAGCAUUGGAGGAGGCAAAAGCUGAUAUAGUUGGUCUGUGGGCGCUGAAUUUUCUUAUAAACAAGGGGUUGCUUCCUAAGAGUCUAUCAAAAUCUAUGUAUGUUUCUUUCCUGGCUGGAUGCUUUCGGUCAAUUCGCUUCGGGCUGGAAGAAGCUCAUGGGAAGGGACAGGCAUUGCAGUUUAAUUGGUUGUAUGACAAAGGAGCUUUUAUCUUGCAUUCUGACGGGAAAUUCUCAAUUGACUUUACAAAGGUUGAGGAAGCUGUUGAAAGCCUUGGCAGAGAGAUCAUGACGAUACAGGCAAAGGGCGACAAGCCUGCUGCGCAGUCUCUCCUUCAGUCGCGUGCAACCUUGACGCAGCCAUUGCGUGUGGCAUUGGAGAAAAUCGAACACAUGCAGGUGCCUGUUGAUAUAGCCCCGAUAUUUGGCACAGCCAGUAAGCUGCUCGCAAACAAUUAA
rnacentral:rRNA from 1 species